rnacentral:sRNA from 1 species
GCCAGGUGCAGUGGCGCACACCUGUAAUCCCAAUAGCUUGGGAGGCUGAGGCAGGAGGAUCUCGAGUUCGUGGCCAGCCUCAGCAAAAGCAAGGUGCUAAACAACUCAGUGAGAUCAUGUCUCUA